AGGGAAUCUUCCACAAUGGACGCAAGUCUGAUGGAGCAACGCCGCGUGAGUGAAGAAGGUCUUCGGAUCGUAAAGCUCUGUUGUUGGUGAAGAAGGAUAGAGGCAGUAACUGGUCUUUAUUUGACGGUAAUCAACCAGAAAGUCACGGCUAACUACGUGCCAGCAGCCGCGGUAAUACGUAGGUGGCAAGCGUUGUCCGGAUUUAUUGGGCGUAAAGCGAGCGCAGGCGGAAUGAUAAGUCUGAUGUGAAAGCCCACGGCUCAACCGUGGAACUGCAUCGGAAACUGUCAUUCUUGAGUGCAGAAGAGGAGAGUGGAACUCCAUGUGUAGCGGUGGAAUGCGUAGAUAUAUGGAAGAACACCAGUGGCGAAGGCGGCUCUCUGGUCUGCAACUGACGCUGAGGCUCGAAAGCAUGGGUAGCGAACAGGAUUAGAUACCCUGGUAGUCCAUGCCGUAAACGAUGAGCGCUAGGUGUUGGGGACUUUCCGGUUCUCAGUGCCGCAGCAAACGCAUUAAGCGCUCCGCCUGGGGAGUACGACCGCAAGGUUGAAAC
rnacentral:rRNA from 1 species